AGCACAAUAUAAGCUAUGUGUUGCUAGGCGAAGUAGUUGAGUCAUGCACCCUAGAUGGUGAGAGUCUAGUAGCCAAAAGAAUCAUUGGGUUACUCUCUAACCCGAGUAGAAAGGGGCACGUGGAAUCCCGUGUGAAUCAACAAGGACCACCUUGCAAGGCUAAAUACUCCUGGGUGACCAAUAGCGAAGUAGUACCAUGAGGGAAAGGUGAAAAGAACCCCCAUCGGGGAGUGAAAUAGAACAUGAAACUGUAAGCUCCCAAGUAGCGGGAGGAAAAUGAUAUCUCUGACCACGUGCCUGUUGAAGAAUGAGCCGAUGGCUUAUAGGCAGUGGCUUAGUUAAGGGAACCCACCAGAGCCGUAGUGAGAGCGAGUCUUCAUGGGGCAAUUGUCAUUGCUUAUGGACCCGAACCUGGGUGAUCUAUCCAUGACCAGGAUGAAGCUUGGGUGAAACCAAGUGGAGGUAUGAACCGAAUGAUGUUGAAAAAUCAACGGAUGAGUCGUGCUUAGGGGUGAAAUUCCACUUGAACCCAGAGGUAGCUGGUUCUCCCUGAAAUUCUUUGAGGAGCAGCAGUUGACUAGACCAUCUAGGGGUAAAGCACUGUUUCGAUACGGGCCAUGAGAGCGGUACCAAAUCGAGGAAAACUCUAAAUACUAGAUUGCCCCAAUAAAAGGGGUAAAGGUCAGCCAGUGAGACGAUGGGGGAUA
rfam:Picea glauca, whole genome shotgun sequence.